rnacentral:rRNA from 1 species
UACAGGGGGUGCAAACGUUGCUCGGAAUCACUGGGCGUAAAGGGCGCGUAGGCGGCCUUCUAAGUCGAACGUGAAAUCCCCGGGCUCAACCCGGGAACUGCGUCCGAGACUGGAAGGCUCGAAUCCGGGAGAGGGAUGUGGAAUUCCAGGUGUAGCGGUGAAAUGCGUAGAUAUCUGGAGGAACACCGGUGGCGAAGGCGGCAUCCUGGACCGGUAUUGACGCUGAGGCGCGAAAGCCAGGGGAGCAAACGGGG